GCGGUAGUGGCGGAAUGGCAGACGCACUAGCUUGAGGGGCUAGCGGGGGCAACCUCGUGCUGGUUCAAAUCCAGUCUACCGCACCA
rnacentral:tRNA from 1 species